AUGUUUGGGUUCAAGGUCUGGCUUGAGAUCGAGGGCAUUCCUCCCCACGCCUGGGACAGAUCGGUUGUGGAGGACCUGUUGGGUUCGUCUUGCAAAGUGGAUACAGUCAUGUCGAAAACCUGCUCUCGCGCGGAUCUGGCCUUGUUCAAGCUGUCGGCGUGGACAGCUCACCCACAGGGCAUCCCCACGAUGCGGUGGCUCGCUGUGCCGGAGCCUGGCGAGGAGGCGCCUCUAGCGUUGCUGCAAUACAAGACGCUGAUUCAUCUCGCUGCAGUCAAGGAUUUGCGUGAAGCGGGGGAGCCAUGGUUUCUUGGCGGCUCGUCGGUCAGCGGGUAA
rnacentral:rRNA from 1 species